UUGCUGUGAGGAUAAGUUGUUGAAUAAUCAUCAUAGAUCUGAAUUUGUUGUGCAUAAAAGUGUAUUAAGACUGAUACAUUUCAUAUAGAGAGUGGGUCAGGCAUGGUCAUAGUCCAUACACACUCUCAAAGGUCAGUCCCUCUCUGCUAAUGGAGGAGCUGCUCCUCUAUGAAGCAUCGGACGUGUCCUUGUAACCUGCUGCAGCAGCCUGCAGCCUUGCAGCAGCAGCAUUAAUAUUUCAGCUGAUGGGUCGCCUUCAGAAAGGUUAUUAUUGUCUCUUAAACUGAGGAACACGUACACACAUACACACACACACACACAUAUACACACAUGACAACAUAAACCUACCAUCCCAAAAACACUCAUUCAUUUUUCAUUCACAGAAAUCCCAACAUCAUUACAGCUUGUCAGUGUGCAAAAUACUUAAUUACUACCUCUAACUUCUCCCUGUGUUUAUGUGUGUGUGUGUGUGUGUGUGUAUGUGAGAGAGAGCGAGAGUGUGUGUGUGUGUGUGUGUGUGUGUGUGUGUGUGUGUGUGUGUGUGUUUGUGUGUGAGAGAGAGCAUAAUUAGCCAACUUCUCUCUGAUCCUUAAUGCAUUAUUGAAUAUUUCAAAGGAGUCUCGAUCCUCUGGGCUGAGUGGCCGUCAAGUCGGGAUCACAGGGCGGGUUCGGCCGUGAUGAAGGGCGGUGCAGCCAUUAAGGAGUCUGGGCCGAGCCGGCGGCCUUGCAUGAACCUGGAUCUCAUGAAUAAUACACAUUCUUUUACUGUAUUUGGAAGCACUUUCUGAUGGACUGUUGGUGCCACAUUGAUUUUUAAGUCGUGCAAUUUCAGGGAACAAGUCAAUUGGAUUUUAGUGGUGAAUAAUGGCUUGUAGAAAACAGACGAUUUAUUGCAAUUAUUCCUGACGGAGAGCAACAGUCAGAGUCUGAACUCCACUAACUGAGACCUUGACAAGACAAUAGCCGUGUUGUCAUGGUAAUCUGCCAUUUUCUCCUGACAUUUCAAAGAUUUUCAUCUCUCACAAUUACAGCCAGUCUGUUUUCUCUUCUGAAAUGCCACUGUUCAUUAUUAGAUUUACUCUGCAGUGCAUCUCGCAUCUAUCAAAUAUUCAAAACAUAACACAGAUUUAUUGCAAAUAAAUGCUGAAAGUCAUCCCUUGAGCUUAAAAGUGACAAAAAGCUUCAAGUUCACUUAUUCUGAAGAACAGGGAAACACUCGAAACAAAAGAUUAACUCAACAAAAGUUUGAUUUUACAGACCGGAUCAUGUAUUUUUGAGAUACUGACUAAUGCAUGUAUAAAUGGAUUGUAGCCUCACUAACAAAUACACAUCACUAGUGCGUUUGUUGGUACACUUGCCCCACUAAGUCCUCCAUCUCAAGGUCCAAUCGACCAAGCAUGAAUUCAAGCUCCUGUUUUGCAUCUGAUUGUGGCAAUAAGCUGUCAACAUUUCCACACUCAGAUGUGCAUAACUGCACUGUGCACUCUCAUCCUGACAGAGCUCAAAUCUAUCCUCCAACAGAUAGAGUAGAGGGAACACUUCUUCCCAGUUUAUCGUGGAGUUUAUCAUAAAAAGUGUGUUAUAAAUUCACCCAUUUUGAUAAAAACACCUAAUCUUGAACAAGCCAGCAAGAACAACUGUUUCAAUUAAAAAUACAUACUGAACAAAAAUAUAAACGUAACACUUUUUUUUCUUCUAUUUUUCAUGAGCUGAACUCAAAGAUCUAAGACUUUUUCACUCAAAUAUUGUUGACAAAUUUGUCUAAAUCUGUGUUAGUGAACACUUGUCCUUUACUCAGAUAAUCCAUCCACUUCACAGGUGUGGCUAAUUAAGAUGCUGAUUAGACAGCAUGAUUCUUGCCCAGGUGUGGCAUAUCAAGAUGCUGAUUAGACUGGCCACACUAAAAGGCCACUCUGAAAGGUGUAGUUCUACCGUAUUGGGGGCGUCCAUUUGACCACCAUUCGCCUCAUGCAGUGCAACACAUCUCCUUAGCAUAGAGUUGAUCAGGUUGUUGAUGGACCUGUGGAGUGUUGGUCUACUCCUCUUUAAUGGCUGUGCGAAGCUUCAGUAUAUUUAAUCUAUGAUAUUCAGACUGUCUCCCCACAAGAAAUACUAUGCUGAUGUGUAGGCUGAGGCUGCAUCAAACCCCGCACUGAUCUAACCCCUGAUUAUCAAAAUAACAGUCGAAGAGCGUUUCAUAUUUUCACGCAACGGCUAUUUUUGGCAGUUUGAAUCUGUUCUGAGAGUUUCCUGCCUUUUCAAGUGGAAGGGCAGCCCAAAGCCUAAAGUGGAGGGAGCACACCUACCUUCCUAUCGUCUGAUCAGUGAGCAUACGUACAUGAAAAGCAAAUGUAGGGGAGCAGCAGCUAAGACCUUCAGAGUACAGAACUGUUGUGUUGUGUCUUAAUGUACAGAUAUAUUAUUUUUCAGUCAUCUCAAGGUGGAUUUGUUAUGAUCGCUUAAAAGUUCAAGCAUUGCUUCAUUUGUGAAUACAGGAGUGCAGUUCCUAACUCCUAGCAGAUGGUUCAGAUUUUACCCUGACUGUGUGUAGCUGUCUGACGCCUUUUGCACCAGUGUUUAUUUGCAUGGAAAGAGGUUGAUUUUGCCCCACUUUAAUGGCUCAUUUGGAAGUAUAUAAACACCACACUGUAGUUUAUGGUGCAUGUGUUUAAUGUAAACCAAUCACUGUAUGUGUUGUUUGCACAGGUUUUGAAGUCCUUUGUGAAUCAGGCCUUGCGUUUUGGUGAUAAACUCCCCUUCAAUGGGGCAUUUAUCAUCAGUAUAUUUUAUAGAUCUAUCUGCCAGGGUUGAAGUUUUUAAAUAUGAGCUAUUCCCCAUUCAAUCAAUUUAAAUAAAGGGCUGACAAAGCUGCUUUUAGUAGCUAAAGCUACAAUCUGCUCACUUAGCAAAAAGCUGAUGUUAUGAGUGAAUAAAAAUUGCCAAAACAGAAAUGGUGGUUCUAAAAGGAAAGACAUAAAUCAAGGCACACGAUCCAAGUAUUUCCCUGAUACUGGGUUGGACUGUUUGACUGUUUUAAGCUUAUCUCUGUGUACAAGGAUGCCCUUUUGCAGUGUUCUGGAUGGCAAAUAAACUGCAUAAAAUUCAAAUCUACUUCUUAAAAUUUCUAAAUCCUAAACUGCAUUGCACCUCAGUAAGUAAGUGAGUUAGAAGUUUCAGUUCUUUAAAUUUGACUCCAUAUUAUUCAGUCUAGAUGAUCACAAAGUAUCUCCCUGUAUGCUGAGCUGGAUCCUGAAGGAAUGGAUGAAGCAAUAAGAACAAACAGCUGCAGCAGAUGAUUUAUGGAGCUGCAUAAACUCGUCUUUUCUCUGCGGACGGAUGAGUCGGCCUCAAAAUGGAUCCUCUCAGCGUGUUGAAUAAGCACUCCUGCUGCAGCGUGCACACAUUCAGGGGGAUCAGUUUGUUUAAUGACAGCAGGAGCAUCUUCUAUCCAUCAUUACUUAGGCCGUGUGAUUACUAAAAUGCCCAUCAAAGUCAUAUGGGGAGUGAAACGUCCAGGUGGGCUCUCUACAAUCAAUCAAAUUGACCCAAUGGCGAUGAAAGUACGCACGUACACACUUUCUCCUUCUCUUCUGAGCUUUGUGGCAGACAUAAGCUCUUUCCAUUAAACCUGCGCUGCAAUAAGCAUUUGGGUUAAAAGCUUUCAUAAUCAGGUGUGUUCUCAUUUGGCGAAGAAGAUCAAUACCGUCCUUCACAUGGGGGCUUUAGCACAUUGUGUGUAGGUGUGUAGAGGCCACAGAUUUAGCCUCCUAUGUGUGUGUGUGUGUGUGUGUGUGUGUGUGUGUGUGUGUGUUCAUGUUUUUGCCUGUUUUAGAGUGUGUUUACAGUCUUCAGUCUGCGGGGGCAAACUGUUUCCUACAGUGAUCUCUUCAUUCUGUGUUUGUGAGGUUGUUCUGUGGAUGCUGCGGUUGCUUUUUUACUGCCUCCCACCCCCUCAGUUGAUCCAGAGGUCCACUCUGCAGACUGCAACUGCAACAAAUGUAGAGUUAAAGCCCAUUAAUGAGCACACUACACAACCACGCACAAAAAAAUGCUUCGGUUUUGCCUUUCUUCGCUCAUUAGUGCAUGUUUGAAACUAAUUUUAUGCUCGGGAGUUCAUGCAAAAGUCUUGUAAAUACAACACUAUUCAGGAAAAGUUGCAAGUCUGCAUGUAAACUGUUCAUGAAAUAGAGUUUGGUGGUUUACACAUCAUUUAAUUCCCUAUAUCACAUGAGAUUGCUAGCAGUAUGUUGGUCUAUUUCUGUAUAUGUACACUGAAAGCAAUGUCAGAACAGAGAUGUAUUCCUCAUAUACAGUAUGUACAUAUAUUCUGCCAUAAAUCCACUUUCUUUCCUGUUUAAAAUCAGAUCCUUUGACAAAAAUGCUCUUGUUGUAAACAGAAAAAACAAAAAAACAACCUGCCACUCUAAAUCAACCUGCAGCUUUCAUUUCAAGCCCAGGAAAUGUUUUAGUCAGGUUGAUGCUUUUACAGCCUGUAAACCGUACUGUUGUGUAUCUUUAUAGCUGCGGGCUUCCUGUAAAAGUGCGUGCUUGUGUAUGUUUGUUUGCAAGUGUGUGGGCAUGCAGAGACUUUUAGAGAAGUAUGCCUGCAGCAGCGUUUUUACAAAUGCCUCCUCUGCAUUGAGAUCAAUAUAUUAAUCCUCAGAGAACUUGACCUAUGUGAGCAGUUUUUCUUAAUCACUUAUGUUUUUGAAAUGUUGUUUUUCCACAUAGUGGUGCAGAUGUUCAAGUGUUAUAUGUUACCAAUAUGCAACAUAGAUAGUUAAAAAUAAUACAGAUGAAUCUGGUUCUUGUAGCCUCUCAUAGCACCUCCUGAGAUAAUGUGCGAUGGUUUCCUGUGGGUUGUGCCCAUUGUUAUGUGUCAAAUGUCACAUGAUAGAUGAUGCUUGGAGUGAAACAAGGCUGCAACCAUCACAAUUCCAACCCCAGCUUUGGAUUUCAGCAUGAUAGAUUUUAAAUGAAGCCCAUAAAUAUCUGGAACGCAUUCUCCGAGAUAUAUUCUACACUUACCGACAAACAAUCGAUGCUUAAUAACACCUUCAUCCCUGACAUUGCUGAAGGCCCGUGUCCUGUCAGACUGUGAUGCCUUCAUUAGCUGUAGCACUGUGGCCUUGGCCCUGACAGAGAGGUCUGUGAUGGCUAUGUUCAUUGUUCAUGUGCUCAAUAGACAGCACAUGGAGUGGGCAGCAGUCAGUGGGGCUAAAUUUGUGCCUCUCUGCUCAUUCCGGGGAUAUUUGUGACUUGCUCCUUGUUGACUCGUUGUGCUUCUUGCUGACAACGGGCCUCUGUGUGUCACAGACGGCUAAAUCCAGCCAGCUGUGUGCAAUUAGGCUGCAAAAUGCUUGGGAUGUGCAAGCUACUUUGCAAAGCAUCAAGUAGUGAUGAUGGAAGAUUUAGUCUGGAAAAACAAAUUAAGAGUCUUCUUUAUCAUAUGGGGUUUCACUGUAUAGCUGACUAUGUAGUGAACUCAAUUACCGGAGGUUUCGGACACUGCAUGGCAAGACGCAAUGUAUGACGGGAUGCUCACCACCAGUGAGUGACCAUCGGAUGGUCACUACAUUUUGCAAUGCUUUAUGGGAAAUUUUGAGUCACCUAUAUGGGGCACUGGAAUUGAUUACUCAGGUUUUGGACACCCCUCAAAAUGGUGCUAACCCCUGUAUAGUCACCAAUAUAGGGGCUAGGGGGUCAAAAGAUGUGCAAAAAUAUUACUUACACCAAAAAAUAAAUAAAUAAAUAAAUAAAAUAAAAUAAAUAAAUUAAAAAAUUAAAAAAUUCCACUUAAUGGAAGGAUCUGUCAGGAAACAGUUUAGAUAUUUUACAGAAUGUAAAUAAUGUCCCUGAAUAUGCUGAAACACUCCCAAAAUAAAAAAAUACCCCCCCAAUAAUGUAUGAAAUAGCUAUUUCAUUAAAUAUACUUUUUCAUAAAAGCAAAAAUAAUGUUUUAAAUGCAAAUCUUAUUUAUUAUAGGUACAAAGAUUUCACUAAUCUUUCAUGCAAAGCAAAAAUUCCUUCUGUUUUUAACAUGUAUUUAAAGUUUCUGGUCAUGAAAUGUCUGUGUAGUUCAUCGUUAGGGCCACCGUACAAAAUGUCAAGAAAUACAAUGCAAAACAAGGCAGUUAAAAGCUGUAUUUUAGUCAAAUAAAAUUAAUGAAACUUUAAAAUCUUAAAUGAUAUAUAUUAAAUGAGAUUUUUUUUUUUUAAAUCUAAAGCUAAUUUAUGGUCUAAUGGUGUGUUCUUUGACAGACAGUCAGCCAGCGGUUCAUAAAUCAGUUGCCACAUCUCGUCCCUGAGGGAGAUUCACUG